rnacentral:rRNA from 1 species
UACGGAGGGUGCGAGCGUUGUUCGGAAUUACUGGGCGUAAAGCGCGUGUAGGCGGCCUUGUAAGUCUGGUGUGAAAGCCCGGGGCUCACCCCCGGAAGUGCAUUGGAUACUGCAAGGCUCGAGUACCGGAGAGGAGGGUGGAAUUCCUGGUGUAGCGGUGAAAUGCGUAGAUAUCAGGAGGAACACCGGUGGCGAAGGCGGCCCUCUGGACGGAUACUGACGCUGAGACGCGAAAGCGUGGGGAGCAAACAGG